ACACCAGCUGCCAUUGUUCCUGAAUGAUAGAAAGAAAGAUGUCUUUCAUAAAAAUCUCGUAAAUUGCUGGAAAUUCUUGUAGUACGAAGUAAGUACCGAUGUACGAAGUCUGAGAUGAUCAGCAGGGAGCUUCUUAUAUAUUUGAGAGAAUCUUCAGAGACUAAAUACGAGACAAUUUAGCUUAAUUUUUGUAGGUUAGUGCGUUAGUAUACUCUAAAGUUUAAAAUUACAAUAAUUAAAAGCUAGAUUGAAGAUAUAGUCCAAACAUAUUAGAGAUAAUAUG
rnacentral:ncRNA from 1 species